GACGAACGCUGGCGGCGUGCCUAAUACAUGCAAGUCGAACGAAGCGGCGGAUGGGUAAGUAACGCGUGGGUAACCUGCCCUUAAGUGUGGGAAACCAGUUGGAAACAGUUGCUAAGACCGGAUGCUAAAGGAUGGACCUGCGAUGCAUUAGCUAGUUGGGAAGGUAACGGCUUACAAAGGCGAGGAUGCAUAGCCGACUUGAGAGGCUGAUCGGCCACAUUGGGACUGAGACACGGCCCAGACUCCUACGGGAGGCAGCAGUAGGGAAUCUUCCACAAUGGACGAAAGUCUGAUGGAGCAACGCCGCGUGAGUGAAGAAGGUUUUCGGAUCGUAAAGCUCUGUUGUUGGUGAAGCGGUAAUCAACCAGAAAGUCACGGCUAACUACGUGCCAGCAGCCGCGGUAAUUC
rnacentral:rRNA from 1 species